UGACUCACCUGGCAGGGGAGACACCAUGAUCACGAAGGUGGUUUUCCCAGGGCGAGGCUCACCCGUUGCACUCCGGACGUGCUGACCCUGAGAUUUCUCCAAAUGUGGGAAACUCUGCUGCAUCAUUUGUGGUAGUGGGGGACUGCGUUCGCGCUCUCCCCUG